rnacentral:rRNA from 1 species
GACGAACGCUGGCGGCGUGCUUAACACAUGCAAGUCGAACGGAAAGGCCCUGCUUUUGUGGGGUGCUCGAGUGGCGAACGGGUGAGUAACACGUGAGUAACCUGCCCUUGACUUUGGGAUAACUUCAGGAAACUGGGGCUAAUACCGGAUAGGAGCUCCUGCUGCAUGGUGGGGGUUGGAAAGUUUCGGCGGUUGGGGAUGGACUCGCGGCUUAUCAGCUUGUUGGUGGGGUAGUGGCUUACCAAGGCUUUGACGGGUAGCCGGCCUGAGAGGGUGACCGACCACAUUGGGACUGAGAUACGGCCCAGAUUCCUACGGGAGGCAGCAGUGGGGAAUAUUGCACAAUGGGCGGAAGCCUGAUGCAGCAACGCCGCGUGCGGGAUGACGGCCUUCGGGUUGUAAACCGCUUUCGCCUGUGACGAAGCGUGAGUGACGGUAAUGGGUAAAGAAGCACCGGCUAACUACGUG